rnacentral:lncRNA from 1 species
AUGGAAAUUCAAUCAGGAAAUGGAGAGGAGGUUGCAGGCGCGACCUCGGGCUUCGUUUCCUGUGGCCCCUCCAGGCCGCAGGUAGUGACAUCAGACGAUCCGGUGCUCAGAGAGGACCUGCAGGCUACCAAGAGGAUCGAGAGGUUUGACAUCCCGCUUGAUAGCCUGAAGAGGAUGUUUGAGAAGCCUGCUGGGACCACUACGGAAGUAGCAGCCAGCCCUGUGUCCAAACCAGUGCCGUCGAGCAGCUCCUCUCAGACCCAUCCGGAUCGGAUCAUGGCCUCACACCAACAUGUCAAAAACUGUGAGUACUGUCCAGAUUUUCUCUUCACAACAAAGUUCUUAAACUUCAUUUUUAAAUGUUGAAAUAAGGUUUCUAGAUGAGGUCAAAGGUCUUCAGCCUUGCUUGCAACUUUCAACCAAAUGAAAUAGAUUCCGACCAUUGUUGGUUUGUGAACCAAAGCUAAAGUACUUCAGUGACUUUUUAUGUCUUAAAAAAAGUACUUUUGGUUGUAAUGCAAGAACAAACAGAAUUUAACAUGCAAUAAAUAAAUAAUAAUAAUAAACACCUUAGACGAUUGUUGUUUUCAUGCAUGAGUUCUGAUGCUGUCCGUCCCUAAGCAGCGGUCCAGUGUAACCCUUCACACUGUUUACUUAAAAUGAGCCACUGAUGAUGUUUACAGUAUCCCUCACUCAGAGGUCUGCAAGCAUUAGGAAAACGGGAAAUGUGUUGCUUCAUUUCUAAUAUUACUCUGGUUUAAAGCUUGUUUGACAAUAAAAAUCUGCAUAAAAAACCUCUUUUAACGCCAAGUUGAAUGUAAUUUUAAUGAGUAGAGUUGGAUCUUUGGUUUAGAUGUUUAGCAGACCCACAUGUGUCCUUACCCAAGUGUCUCUGUGAGACUCUGAUUGUCUUGUUUCAUCUCAACUCUGAAGGUCAUCGCUUUCCCUGAAGACACCGUUGUCCUCCUUCAGCAACUCAGCUGGUUUAUAGUCAUGAGUUCCUGUUGUGUGGCUGCAGCUGACAGUGUGGGUCAGUGUAUUACCUGGAGUGUGGGUCAGUGUAUUACCUGGAGUGUGGGUCGGUGUAUUAUCUGGAAUGAGGGUCAGGUGUAUUAUCUGGAGUGAGAGUCAGGUGCAUCAUCUGGAACGUGGGUCGGGUGUAUCACCUGGGUGAGGGUCAGGUGUAUUACUUGGAGUAAGAGCCGGGUGUAUUAUCUGGAAUGUGGGUCGGGUGUAUUAUCUGGAGUGAGGGUCGGUGUAUUAUCUGGAAUGAGGGUUGGGUGUAUUAUCUGGAACGUGGGUCGGGUGUAUCACCUGGGUGAGGGUCAGGUGUAUUACUUGGAGUAAGAGCCGGGUGUAUUAUCUGGAAUGUGGGUC